rnacentral:rRNA from 1 species
CCUACGGGCGGCAGCAGUGAGGAAUAUUGGUCAAUGGACGAGAGUCUGAACCAGCCAAGUAGCGUGAAGGAUGACUGCCCUAUGGGUUGUAAACUUCUUUUAUAUGGGAAUAAAAUGUUCCACGUGUGGGAUUUUGUAUGUACCAUAUGAAUAAGGAUCGGCUAACUCCGUGCCAGCAGCCGCGGUAAUACGGAGGAUUCGAUCGUUAUCCGGAUUUAUUGGGUUUAAAGGGAGCGUAGGUGGAUUGUUAAGUCAGUUGUGAAAGUUUGCGGCUCAACCGUAAAAUUGCAGUUGAAACUGGCAGUCUUGAGUACAGUAGAGGUGGGCGGAAUUCGUGGUGUAGCGGUGAAAUGCUUAGAUAUCACGAAGAACUCCGAUUGCGAAGGCAGUUCACUGGACUGCAACUGACACUGAGGCUCGAAAGUGUGGGUAUCAAACAGGAUUAGAUACCCUUGUAGUC